UACGUAGGGGGCGAGCGUUGUCCGGAUUCAUUGGGCGUAAAGCGCUUUAAGGCGGUUCGGUAAGUCGGGUGUGAAACCUCCAGGCUCAACCUGGAGACGCCACUCGAUACUGCUGUGACUAGAGUUCGGUAGGGGAUCACGGAAUUCCUGGUGUAGCGGUGAAAUGCGCAGAUAUCAGGAGGAACACCGGUGGCGAAGGCGGGUCUCUGGGCAACAACUGACGCUGAGGAGCGAAAGCGUGGGGAGCAAACAGG
rnacentral:rRNA from 1 species